ACUCGAGUGGCGAACGGGUGAGUAACACGUGGGUGAUCUGCCCUGCACUUCGGUAUAAGCUUGGGAAACUGGGUCUAAUACCGGAUAGGAGCCAUCUUUAGUGUGGUGGUUGGAAAGUUUUUUCGGUGUAGGAUGAGCUCGCGGCCUAUCAGCUUGUUGGUGGGGUAAUGGCCUACCAAGGCGGCGACGGGUAGCCGGCCUGAGAGGGUGUACGGCCACAUUGGGACUGAGAUACGGCCCAG
rnacentral:rRNA from 1 species